rnacentral:tRNA from 1 species
UCCUUGGUGGUCCAGUGGUUAGGACUAUGCACUCUCACUAUGAAAGGCCCAGGUUCAAUCCCUGAUCAGGGAA